rnacentral:piRNA from 1 species
UAGAUACAUAGAUUUGCCAGUGUGAUGCU